UAGUGUCGUCUGCUCGUCUGCUUUCGUUUUGUUAAGCACGUUAAAAGUUUCGAAAAAGAGACGAAGAUAACAAAGAAAAUAGAAUAAUCUCUCUUUUUGAAAACGUUCCUACGUGGCUGCUCGAAAAAUAGCACAGCAAAUAAAAUUACGAAAAUGUGGUCGUCGUUCCUACUCUGGUCGCGUCUCUUAUAGAAUUGCUUAGCACACACUCCAUGCAGAGAUCCAUAUUCCAAGCUCCAUAGCAGAUUUGACGCCUGAGCCAGCCAUCCUAAGCCACAAGAUAUGCCAGGCUUGUACUAGACCUGUCAUCUGCAACAAAUAUCAUCAUUUGGAUAAACAGCAUCCGGCAUCCCUUUUGAUUGGAGAAACAACCGAUGUCGUCCAAAUUACGGAUCUCUUCUUAUUCCCCUUUCUUUAAGUGUCCUCGUGUACACCCAUGUGAGUGUGGGUGUAUUCACGAGGACGCCCUUUUCCUUAUUCCGCCUGGUGGAUUCAACUCUUCAGAGGACGGAGCAUCUGUGUAUGCCUUGCCGUAUUUCCCAGGCUCAAAGGGCCGAGAUGUUGGAGUCACUGAAGGGCAGAGCUCCGUAGACGAGAAAAUAGAGAGUGACCCCCAUGGCCCAAACAUCCGCUGCCUUGCCGUGAAAUUGACCCGAGCCCGCCAGUGCUUCCGGAGCGUGAAAAGCCGGCGUUCCGGCCGCGGUUUCCAGCACAAUGUCUUCCGCUCCGUGGAACUCGCAACUGACACCGAAGUCGGCAAUGCGCAACCUUCCGUCACAGCCGAGAAGCAAAUUGGCUGGCUUGAUGUCACGAUGGACGACGUGAUUGCGGUGCACUGAUCAUUUGACAAAUACAAAUUACUCAAUUCCUAACAACAAAUCCCGAAAGUGUAUCCUGGCUUGAUUUUCUUCCAUCGGAUUUCCGUUCGGCUCAUCCGACACAACUGCUCCCAGAUCAAGUAAUUCAAAAGCUGCAAUUUUUCCAAAUGAAUAAGAUGCGAUCCAGCGGAUGAGAUGUCGAUCCAGUGCUUCCUUUAUCAGAUUUUUUUCUUUGCGGAGCUAGUCGACCAAAGAAACCGGCCCUUUUCAACAUUUUCUUCUUGGAAAGGAUUUUCAUGGCCUU